rnacentral:piRNA from 1 species
UACCCGAGGACGCUCCAUGUCCCAAGAACUU